CAGCGAAGCCGCGAGGCAGAGCGAAUCCCCCAAAGCCACUCCCAGUUCGGAUUGCAGGCUGCAACCCGCCUGCAUGAAGUCGGAAUCGCUAGUAAUCGCAGGUCAGCAUACUGCGGUGAAUACGGUUCCCGGGCCUUGUACACACCCGCCCGUCACACCACGAAAGUUGGUAACACCCGAAGCCGGCGAACCGACGCGCAAGCGAGGGAACCGUCGAAGGUGGGAUCGAUGAUUGGGGUGAAGUCGUAACAAGGUACC
rnacentral:rRNA from 1 species